ensembl:lncRNA
AAUACAACCAUGACUCAAGGCCUGAGAAGGAACAGUUCCUUGUCAUGUUGUCUACAUGAGAAAGUCUCUUCCAGAAACCACUCCUGUGGUUAAAUAAUAUGGGGAAAUAAUAAAUUAUUUCCCCAUGGUUAUCUGAGAAAACAUCUAGUCUUCCUAGAAGCUUUUCUAUGGAAAGAGUUCACAAAGUUGUUGAAUAUGCCCAGAAAAUACUGAGCUAACAUAAUCCCUCUCACAUGUAAACAUGUAACUGAAUGUCACUAUAUAAAUGUCUACUGUAAUAAACCCAUCAGCAACAGCAAGAAUUGUGUGCAGGGAAGUCAAUUGCAGGAAUGGAUACUUCAUAGCAGUUUAAAUGAAAUUACCUUCUGCAGUGAACAAAUGGACACAGAAGACAAUCUAAGCCAAGAAAAGCACACUGUCAUCCUGAGCGAGAGCUGACCUGAAAGGAUGGAACAUCAGGCACAAUUGUAAUUUUUCAGUUUUAAGAGACAGAUUAAGUGCUGACAGCAGCUGGCAAAAUGAUAGAGAUAUUCACAAGAAUUUUAGUUUCUUCUGGAGCCAGGUCCUGCUAUGAAGGUCAAGGGACAGACCUUGCUGUUGCUCGGAAAGAACUUACUGGAGGCCUGUGCCACUGGAAAAGAUUUGUGUUUUGGUUUGGCCUUUGUAUAGCACCUGCUCAGCCACCAACCUUCUCGAGUACCUAAUGCAAAAAUGAAAAGCAAGGCUGAGUAUGUCUGUUCUUAUCAGAAAGAAUUUCUCCUUCCCUUACUCUCGGCGUUCCUUCAGGUGUACUGAGUUUAUUUCCUUGUCCAGCAAGAUACUGAACUCAUGAUGCAAUAAGACUCGAUGUGCUCACAUUGUGAAAGCCUUGGAUCCACAGAAGCACUCCCUAGAUGAAUGGAUGACAUUUCCCAGCAACAAGAUUUCCAUCUCAGUGGUAGAUCCUUAUCCUUUCCCACACAAACUGCAAUGAGGGUAGAGUGUAAGGAUGAACGAACCAAGUCAGGUAUUGCGCUACCUUUUAGAGGCAGAAUCAGUCCAUAUUUGUCCAGUACAUCAAGUCCAAUAGAUCAUGGUAUAUCUAUUGUCCCAACUACAACUCAUAGGCCUGACACAGUUGUGAUGGGAAUGAAGAGGAUUUUGGAAGUCUCUAUGCAAUAAAAAAUAAAGGUUUCUU